AUAAAGUAAAUUCAAUUACGCGGCUACUUUGUAAAUCCCCCAGGAUCACACGCCUAGGAAAAGGAGGCGUCCUGCCUGCUGCGUGUGUGACAUUCAUGUGGGCAGAGUGUCGCGUCCCAAAAGAAAUUUUCGAAAAUAAAUAGAAUUCCGGCAAAGUCAAAGCAGGGUAAACAAGUGCAAAGUGUUGGGCGCCGAAGGGGAAUCCAUGGCAACUAAUCAGAAAUUCCGUCUCAUGCGCUGAUGUGAAGUGUGCCAGUGCCACCAAAAAAAAAAAAAAAACAUAAAAAGGAGCGACAGACAGCACAGGACGAAGACGGACCCGCGAUAAGGAGAUCCAGGACAGAAGCCCAGGACAGAAACCCAGCCCAAGUGGCAUCGCUGCGGCGCCUGGGAUUAUGCAAAAUUCAAUUUGCAACUUAAAUGUGUUUAUUUUGCGUUACGCUGCUGGGGCAAUUUUUAUUUCCACUGAAAAUGAGGGAUUUACUUACUUACCAAGUGGGUGGAGUCGCCUGCUCCUGCCAGGCGAGUCCUGCCGAGCGAUAAGCAAAAGGGUGCCCGGAAAAGCGGGGCGAAGAGCGUUACCAAACCAAUGAGCAAU
ensembl:ncRNA lncRNA:CR45348 long non-coding RNA:CR45348